UUUCGUAUCGUUCGGUGCAUUCUGGGGGCUGUUUCGGCUUUUAGUGGCUUGCUUGGCCUUUUUGGUUGGGUGGGUUGCUACAAGUUGGACUUUCUUCGGGGAUGAUUACCGGGGAGGUGCAUGAGUUGUGUUUGGUUUGUUACGUGUGGAUGGCUGUGGUGCUUGCGCAACAACGUCCAUGCUGCACACCUCUUCAGUUUUGCGGCAAGACUCGGUAUGUCUUGAGCGUAUUGUGGGUUUCCUGUGUUGCAUACCUAGUCGACGGUAAAGUGUGGGUUUUAUGAUUUUCCUUUUCAUCAUGCGUCGUUCAUGCGGCGUGGGAUGAACAACGAAUCGGUCUUUGUGAUCCACUGUGUUGUUGCUUUUGCUACAACACUGUGGCCUAUGAUGCAUCGUUGGUUUCUUGUAUACGGAACUUGAUGUGGGCAUGGGUCUUUAUAGAUCUUCAUUUUGCCCUUGUUAAGCUUCUCGCUUCUCUAAAACGAUUGUCUGCCAUGUCUUGGCUUGUCCUUGCAUGGUGGGCUACGUCGA
rnacentral:misc_RNA from 1 species